CAGCGGAGCGUGUGGUUAAUUCGAUGCUACACGAAGAACUUACCCACCUUGACAUGGCAGGAAUCCUGAAGAGAUUGGGAGUGCUCGAAAGAGAACCUGCACACAGGUGCUGCAUGGCUGUCGUCAGCUCGUGUCGUGAGAUGUUGGGUUAAAGUCCCGCAACGAGCGCAACCCUUGCCAUUAGUUGCUACGAAAGGGCACUCUAAUGGGACUGCCGGUGACAAACCGGAGGAAGGUGGGGAUGACGUCAAGUCCUCAUGGCCCUUAUAGGUGGGGCUACACACGUCAUACAAUGGCCGGUACAGAGGGUAGCCAACCCGCGAGGGGGAGCCAAUCCCACAAAGCCGGUCGUAGUCCGGAUCGCAGUCUGCAACUCGACUGCGUGAAGUCGGAAUCGCUAGUAAUCGCGGAUCAGCAUGUCGCGGUGAAUACGUUCCCGGGUCUU
rnacentral:rRNA from 1 species